rnacentral:tRNA from 1 species
GGAGAGGUGGCCGAGCGGCUGAAGGCAACUGCCUGCUAAGCAGUUAUACGGGCAACCGUAUCGAGGGUUCGAAUCCCUCCCUCUCCG